rnacentral:rRNA from 1 species
GGUGAGGUAACGGCUCACCAAGGCAACAACGGGUAGCCGGUCUGAGAGGAUGGUCGGCCGCAUCGGGACUGAGACACUGCCCGGACACCUACGGGUGGCUGCAGCACCGAAUAUUGGACAAUGGGCGAAAGCCUGAUCCAGCGACGCCGCGUGCAGGAUGAAGUCCUUCGGGAUGUAAACUGCCGUCAGGAGCCAGCAAGCGACCCCGGCGAACAGUCGGGGAAGUUGAGCAGCUCCAGAGGAAGUCUCGGCUAACUCCGUGCCAGCAGCCGCGGUAAUACGGAGGAGGCUAGCGUUGUUCGGAAUUACUGGGCUUAAAGCGCGUGUAGGCGGCCUGCUAAGCGUCUUGUGAAAUCCCUCGGCUCAACCGAGGAAUUGCUGGGCGAACUGGCGGGCUCGAGACAGGUAGGGGCAACUGGAACUCCAGGUGGAGCGGUGAAAUGCGUAGAUAUCUGGAGGAACGCCCGUGGCGAAAGCGGGUUGCUGGGCCUGUUCUGACGCUGAGACGCGAAAGCGUGGGGAGCAAACGGGAUUAGAUACCCCGGUAGUCCACGCUGUAAACGAUGCGCACUAGAUUCGGAAGUCUCUGACGGCGACCGGGUCGAAGGGAAAACGUUAAGUGCGCCGCCUGGGGAGUACGGCCGCAAGGCUAAAACUCAAAGGAAUUGACGGGGGCUCACACAAGCGGUGGAGCAUGUGGCUCAAUUCGAAGCAACGCGAAGAACCUUACCCGGGUUUGACAUGCACGGAUGCCCUCCUUGAAAGGGGAGUAAGCUGCCUUCGGGUGAAACGUGCACAGGUGCUGCAUGGCUGUCGUCAGCUCGUGCUGUGAAGUGUCGGGUUAAGUCCCUUAACGAGCGAAACCCUUGUCGCUAGUUGCCAGCGGGUUAUGCCGGGGACUCUAGCGAGACUGCCGGCGUCAAGCCGGAGGAAGGUGGGGAUGACGUCAAGUCCUCAUGGCCCUUAUGCCCGGGGUUGCACACGUGCUACAAUGGAGCGUACAGAGCGAUGCAAGACCGCGAGGUGGAGCAAAUCGCACAAAACGUUCCUCAGUUCGGAUUGGAGUCUGCAAUCCGACUCCAUGAAGCUGGAAUCGCUAGUAAUCGCGUAUCAGCCACGACGCGGUGAAUAUGUUCCUGAGCCUUGUACACACCGCCCGUCAAGUCAUGGAAGCCGGGAGUGCCCGAAGUCCGGAAUGCUAACCGUAAGGAGGCGCCGGCCGACGGCAAGCUCGGUGACUGGGACUAAGUCGUAACAAGGUA